CUCUGUGGUGAUAGGACAAGGGGAAAUGGUUUCAAACUGAAAGAGAGUAGCUACAGGUUGGAUAGAAGGAAAAAGUCUCCUACAGUGAAGGUGGUGAGUCACUGGAACAGGUUGCCCAGAGACGUGAUGAAAGUCCUGUCCCUGGAGCAUUCAAGACCAGGCUGGACAGGGCACUGAGCAACCUGAUCUAGCUGUGGGUGUCCCUGUUCAUUGCGGAUGAGGCUGGAGAUAAGGACACAACAUUGAAAAACUGAGAAACAGCUCGUUAGGAAAUAACUACCCAAAACACCAGAAGAGGCCAAAGAAAGACUUGAUUGCCACUCAGCUCCAGGAUGCCAACUCCUGAAUCUGACAAUAAUACCAUCUAACGAAGGGCUAAAGACCAAGCCAUACAAGCACGCUGUGUACAAAGCUGCCCAUGGCUGAAGAAAGAUCUUUGAUUCACUACAUCUCAUUUGGGAAUUUCCCUCAUCUUCCGUAUCUUUCUAAAAAACUCAUAAUCAAGCUGAAGUAAUCUGUUCUUCUGGAGUAGUUUUUUUGACAGUAUCUCCCAUUAUAACUAUACUUCAUUUGAAACACUACAACAUUAACUGGAAAGAGGAACAGAAUAGGACUCAUCAUGGUGAAUUACCUAGAGUAAAAUCCAGUUGCUCCCUAGCACGUUAAACAUGGGAUUCUUGUAUACAUUACAGAACUGACACAGAUGAAGCAACAGAAACUGAAAGUUCAAAUACUGAAACGUUUCUGGAUGCAUAUUAGAUACCUUUGAGCAGAAAUAUAUGUAUCUGGCAAAUUUCGCUAGCAGAAAUCUCUGUAGCUUCCUCACUUUUAGCAGAACAGCACUUUGAACAUUAGUAGUACCUAACAAAAGUCCUUCUUGUGAAGCAAACCCUGGAUGCUGCAGGUUUAAACCAGUGAGAAGUUUAGCACAUGAAUGAUGCAGAAGUGUUGAUUGGUAUAUGUCAACAGAGUCAUAGACAAAGUGUUGAUGCAAGUGCUUGUCAUCUAGAACGUUGAAUUUCAAUGCAAGUGUGGCAGUGAGACUGAUGGACCCCCAAUACUGACAGGAUAUGGCAACUGGGUAGAUUAUGCUCAUCUCAAACUUACAGAAGCAAUCCCUUCACUAUUUUUCCUAUGCGUAUUAGCCUUAUGUAGAUUUGAAACCAACACAACUUCACAACCUUCUGAUGUUUCUCUUCAGAAAAACAAACAAACGAAGAAAGCAGGGACAGAAGCAACAGCAGUACUGGUACUAAGCAGUGGAGUGUAGUGGUCAGAUCAAAUAUUCUGAAAAUUAUGUAGCAUGUCAUCUUGACAAUAGCCUUGACUUAACCAGAAACUAUUUUUUGUAAUUAGUAUACUCAGACGUUUUCUUUAUAUUCAGAAUCCAACUGUUCUAACGUUCUGAAAAACAGAACAAAAAGAAAAACAAGCCUUUAAACCAGUCUGACAACUGCAAUUAAAUCAAUCAUCCACUCAAAUUCAGGUAUUUGUAACAUCAGGUAAUUUAACAAACAUCUUUCAACCAUAACAGCUCAAGGCACAUUUGUUUUAAAAGCACUUUAAUAGAAAAUUUCAGUAUACCUCCCCCACUAAGAUCGUUCUGUAAAGAAUGCACUUCUAACUAUAGAGGAUCAAAAGGACUGAAUAGUCACUUUAUAAUUUUCAACAUUUUUAUAACUUCUUAGGGAACUAUGCCUAGUUGUGAACAAAUCAAAAAUUGCUUCUGGAGGGAAAAUAUUUAAUGAAAAGAAGAUUAUUAUCGUAUUUUAACAUAAAGAUAAAUUUAAUACAACUAAUGGCUACCAUUCCUAUUAUAUUCUUGUGUGUUACCAUCAGACUUUUAAAUGAGAAGAGGUGCUUGGGUUCCAUCUGUGACAAAGCACAGAAACAGCAAAAGAGCUAGAAUAUUCAAUUGCUUACAGUUUGCAGUUUCAUUAUACCAUGGAGAUCAUGAAGAACUGAAACCCAGACUUAUAAGCCCAAUAGAGGAAAGCGCUCAUGGGAAACUGAUUGAAAGUAUUUUGAGGUAAGAAAGAUUAAGGCUUUUUUAUGCUUUUCCUAGCUUUGUGCCUGGGGACAAUAUACUCUAGAACAUCUGUAAAGUUUACUGGAAUUUUUGCUGAUAUACCUAAUGUUGACCUCAUUAUCCACAUUCUCUAUAUAAUUAUGAUGAAUGAUUUUCAGUUUAGUAGACCUAGCAAUUUACUUGUUCUUACUUUACUAAGCAACCCCAUUUUUCUCCUCCCUACGAAGAAUAUAAUCCAGCGCUGCAGUCAAAGGUAGGAUUCAAAUCUUAACCAAGGGAGGAGAUGCAUAGACUAUACAUUUAAUCAUUGAGAUUUAAUAAUUGCAGAUUGAUGAAUAAUCUGUUAAAGUAAAAGCACUGUAUGGGCUCCAUUCCUGCACACACUGAUACCUUUAGCAGGCUCUGACUGCCUCGCUAUUGCAAGAGCUGAAGGGCUAUUCAGCUGAGUAGUGCCCACACAUUAGGUCUGAUGAAAGAUAGACUGAAGCCAUUACAUUCAGAUCUGAUGAUACGAGUGAAUCACAUAAAUUGACAGCAUGGUCUAACUUUUUAUCAAUAUCUGAUCAAUAUUAUUGUUCAGACAAUAAAAGGCAAGCACUUCUUUUCUUGACAGGAAUAAAUAGGUGCUUACUGUUUCAUACAGAAAAGGGAUUUUACACAUACAACCUAAAGGUCUACCGUUUCCUAUCAAUGUAAGACUUGUAUAUUCUGUGGGAGAACACACAGUGGGCCAGAGGUGUAAAAAGUCACAUAUAACAGUAUAGUAUCAGAUCUCCAGCUUUGGAAUAACUGAGCAAAUUUUUAGAGUUUUGAAGAAGACAGAUACACACGUUAUUCUUAGAAGAAGCUGAUGAAUCACUAGCAAGUAUUUACUAACCAAUGUUAAACACCAUUAUUUCAGGUUCCUUGAUACAUUCUUAAUACAGUAUUUCUAUAAAUCAGUUUUUGUAUGAGAAUCUGUUGAGGGUAGCAGUUGCUAAAAAUACAAAGUACAUGUAAAUCACCCAAAACAACGAGAUUUACUUGCUGAAAAAAAGAGAUUUCUGAAAUAAGUAGUAUGAUAUGUGGAGGCUGAAUCACUCCCAGUGGUGCCAUCUUUUUCUCUGCUGACUUUUCUGGAGAUAGGAAAGCUAAAUUGCCAAAAUAUGAAUUUAAUCCCAUCUAUAAAACAAACAGUUUUUCAUUCCCUGUGCAGCACUAGCCUAUAUGUACUUCCUAUUUUUAUAACACCACAAAUAUCUAUGUCAUGUUGUGCCUGAAAUACAAUUGUUUUCGAAUGAGCAGACAAACAGAAGAAACAAGAUUCAGAAAAAAAACCUUACCCAAAACAUUUUGAGGAAGCUAAUGUUUUUUUUUUUUUUCUUUCUAACAAUGAAGUUCCAAUUUUAUCAAUAUUAAAUAAGUUCACAAAAUUCUUCUGACUGGAACAUCACCCUUUUGGCAGAAAAGAUAAUGCCUACAUAUCUCACAGAACACUGGUGAAAUUGCAUUGAGGGAAGGAAUUCAUAUUUAGGAAAGGAACUGAGUAAGAACUGUGAAUUCAAUUAAAAUAUUGUUAUAAUAUGGAGAAGACUGCUUAUAAAGACUGAAAUAAAGAUUUCUCUAAAAAUUUUAAACACUUUUCCCAUUUUAUAACUAAGUCAUGACUGCAUCAGAAAGUAGUGCAUUUGCCAGCAGUCUUGGUGCAUCAGCUUGAAUAUUGUGUUGCCUUGAACAGGGCCAUGUGACCUCACUGCAAACCAGGCUGCAGUCACUGCAGUGUGUCUUUAUUCCUGGGAUACUCAGCACUGCAUUUUGCAAUAAUGUGUAGUGAUUUAAGAAAUAUUUUAUAGAACAAUAUGCUAUAGAAUACUAGAAUUGGGCAAAUAAAUUUUUAUUUUUUCCACCUUAUGUUACAGCAUAAAAACAUAUUUCUUUAAUGUAGUUUACUUCAGUAACCUAAAAUAAUCUUGAAUAACUAAUCCAGUUUCAUUAACCAGUUUUAGAAAAAGAGAACACUAUUUUUCCUCAUCUGCUGAAUCAGGGGUCUGAUUUGUACUGUAAAUAUUCAGAGACAAAAAGCACUAGAAUUCCUGGAGUCUUCCACUGCCAAUGGAUAUGAUCGUUUCAAGAGACAGCUAUGGGAUGGCUUGUAGUUUACAGCAAGUUUACUCUAGGUCUUUGGAACACAGGCAUGAGGAUCGUUAUUCCUUUAUAGGUAGCAGUCAGGAUGUGAAAGCUUGCCAGCUUGGUCUGGAAAUUACUUUGUGGCUGGAACUGGACACUUAUUUUCUAGUGCACAAGAUCUUGAAGAGUUUCCAGCUGCACAAGACUGUAUUUAUUGCACUAUGUAGGAAAUAAUAAAAAGUUUUGAAGUAGUCUGAGUAGGAAUGGUGCUGACAUUCAUAUUCUGUUUUAUCUAUGUAUAUCAAUAUUGUAAAGAACUUUUCUUCCAAACUAUAGAAGAUUUAGCAGGUAAAUAAGUAUAUUUAUCCAAUAAAGUCUAUGAUGGUAAUUAACUGCUCAGACUCUCUUAAUGAAGCUGUUUAUUUUAAAGGACUCAAAAAUUCAGAUAUUCCCCUUUGUACGAAAAUGAGAACAGCACAACAGCAAGGACUUGAACCUGAGUUUUUUCACCUCAGGCAAGUUUCCUGCUGAACCCUUGUUUUCUCUUUGGUGGAUAGUGGUUACAUAGCGUAAAUAGUUAGAAAAUUAAGGAAUGAAAAACGUAUCUUAAUGGUCUCAUAUCACUUUACAUACUCUGUAACAAAUACCAUCACUUUCUUGACAACCAAGUUGUUCAGUGUUUAACGAUCUUAAUAGAUGUAGGAACCCAGUAUUCAUAUGUUUUCUUUGUCUGUCUUGGAGUAUGGGAUAAAAUUCAGGUCUUCUGCUCUCCACUGAGUAGUGUUCAAGGAGUACAUGAAAUUCUGAAGCUAUAACAUGCUACAUAAAACUGUUUGUUAAGCUAGAGAUCUCCAGUCAUUAAAAAUAUCUGUGAAUCUUCCUGAAGAAGCAGGGCAUGUGAGUCCUACUCUCUACUCCGUGGGCCGUACAGAGCCAUACAGGGAACAUAAAUCCUAUGUCUGAAGAAAGUAAACUCUUUACUUACAUUAACUUUUGAAUUAAAAAACUUAGAACACAACAAAAUUACUUGUUUCUCAACAAGUCGAAUAAACCAUUUUUUUCAACCAAACAUUUGUAACAAUUUUCUAAAAAUGCCUUAAAAAUCAAUUUCAUUUGCCUCUUGUAUGUGAAGCUAACAAGUUAAAGUUGUUAUAUGUACAAGCCCAGUCUUAGGUUAGCCCUAACAUAGAGUGUAACAUUUCCAAAUGCACUAACAUUUUUGUGGAACCAGAAAGCCAUUUCUACUCCACUAAGUAGGAAUAACGAGAAUAUAAUAUAGCUAUUACAUGUGACAAUAUGAUUAUGCAAAGGGUUUACAGAUGUGAAUCAGCAGAGUACUAAUGAAUUCAGUAGAGUUCCACUAACUUACAUUAGCUGAUUAUCUAAUUUUUCUGCAUUUUGGAUGAAAGGAAGAAUGUGUCCUCAUUUCUUUUGCUUUCUUUCAGAGAUCCCAAACUAAUUUCAAAAUUCUGUAGUCCAAGUCCUGAUCAGAUUUUGUUGUAUAUCAGAUUACUUAUCCCUUCAGUGUUAUUCAGAAUAAGUACAGAGCAAAUUUUAAAUAGUAAAAAACAAAGGAACUGAUAAAACAGAAGUAUGUAAUAACACAGACUUCUAAGAUGAUAGCAGCAGAAGCACAGAUGAAAUAAAUGCCACUUUGAAACAAAUCAAGUUGGCAUUACAUAUGCAGGUUACUUUCUUCCAUUUUCAGUGAAUCACUGAUAUUAAAUUUGCUGACAUCACUCUUCAACAAGCAAUAGGGAUUACAUGGAGCCCAGGGAGAAAAAUGCAGACUCAUUCUGUAGCCUCCGUGGCUUGAAAAAACUUGUCAUAAAGGGGAGAUUAUGAAAAAAAUGAUUUUGAACUGAGGAAUCUGACCUAUCCAUGGCAGUUUUUAUUAUGUAAUUAGACUUUCCAUUGCAAUACUUUCUACUGAGGUCUGAAAUGUUCUGGUUGUAAGGAGUCUAAACCUCAGAAAAUUCAGCAAAAUAAGAUUCACAUUUUCCAUAUUUCAUCAUGCGUAAUAUUGUUAAUUCCUGAACAGAUCUUCAGCUUCCAUAUUUGUCUAUUGCUUUAUGUAAAUGGAAUAAAUAUAAGUCAUCUUCAAUUUUGCUUCAUUAGGAGAAAAUUUGUCAUCAGUCUUUACUGAGACUUAGGAAAAAAAGGAAAAAAAGGUGGCAAAGUCUAAGAAUCUAGACCAUGAAACCUAACUACAAAAGAUAUUACUCUAAUCUGUCUGGACCACCAAUACAAUCUUUUAGGGGAAAGAACUAAAUGAAAACAUCUUUCCUGGGAGGAAACAUUUACCUCACUUUCCUGAAUCCUGUACAUUUAUCUGUCAUGCAAAGCGAUGCUUAUGAAAUUACUGUAGGUUAGGAUGUAUCUUAUAUCAUGUUGUCAAUCAGUCUCUAAAGGGAAAAGAUCUGGAAGCACUGGACAGCAUAGCCAUUUUCAACCAUAUGAAUAUGCAAAAGCAGUGUCAGUAAACAAUGUAUGAGUGCUUGGCCUCUAUCCUGAUUUUUUUGCCUUCUUCAGCAAAUAAAGGAUUCAAAUAGAAAAACCAAAUCUUUGUUCUUCAAAAGGUGAAAAAUCUCAAAGGAAUACAUGAAGAGGGAAACUUCACGGACUUUCUGUCUUCUCUGCGUUCUUUGUUUUUGUAACUGAUUGAUCUAAUGGAGACCUGACUGUGUUAAGCUCACAAGCAAAGACCUAUUAUUUGUAAAACUGACAUGCUUUUAUUUUCUGCACUUAAGUAGUUUUCUACUUCUCUGCUUUUAACUUCCUUCAGGAAUGAGAUCCAAACUCUGUAUGUAUGAGGUAUUAUAUCUUUAUAAUAGCAGAUGCUGCAUGUGCACUAUGUGAAUUAUCAGGUACAAG
ensembl:lncRNA